UACAGAGGUCUCAAGCGUUGUUCGGAUUUAUUGGGCGUAAAGCGCGUGUAGGCGGCCAGAUAGGUCUGCUGUGAAAACUCGAGGCUUAACCUCGAGCUGUCGGCGGAAACCAUCUGGCUAGAGUCCGGAGGAGGAGAAUGGAAUUCCCGGUGUAGCGGUGAAAUGCGCAGAUAUCGGGAAGAACACCCGUGGCGAAGGCGGUUCUCUGGGACGGUACUGACGCUGAGACGCGAAAGCGUGGGGAGCGAACAGG
rnacentral:rRNA from 1 species